GUGAAUCAUCGAAUCUUUGAACGCACAUUGCGCCCGCUAGCAUUCUGGCGGGCAUGCUUGUUCGAGCGUCCUCAAAAACCCUCGGGCCCUGGAGACUUGUCUUCGGUGGCCUGGUGUUGGGAUGCCGCGGCUGCCGCGGCUCCCUAAAAUCAGUGGCGGACCUCCCUGUGGCCCUGGCGUAGUAAUUUAUUCUCGCCUUCGGCUUCCGGGAACGCCCUGCCCCGAGAAACCAUCUCAACCAUUUGGACCUCGAAUCAAGUAGGAAUACCCGCUGAACUUAAGCAUAUCAAUAAGCGGAGG
rnacentral:misc_RNA from 1 species